rnacentral:rRNA from 1 species
GACGAACGCUGGCGGCGUGCCUAAUACAUGCAAGUUGAGCGCUGAAGGUUGGUACUUGUACCAACUGGAUGAGCAGCGAACGGGUGAGUAACGCGUGGGUAAUCUGCCUUUGAGCGGGGGACAACAUUUGGAAACGAAUGCUAAUACCGCAUAAAAACUUUAAACACAAGUUUUAAGUUUGAAAGAUGCAAUUGCAUCACUCAAAGAUGAUCCCGCGUUGUAUUAGCUAGUUGGUGAGGUAAAGGCUCACCAAGGCGAUGAUACAUAGCCGACCUGAGAGGGUGAUCGGCCAAAAUGGGAAUGAGAAACGGCCCAAACUCCCACGGGAGGCAGCAGGAGGGGAACUUCGGAAAUGGACGAAAGUCUGAACGAGCAACGCCGGGUGAGUGAAGAAGGGUUUCGGAUCGGAAAACUCUGUUGGUAGAGAAGAACGUUGGUGAGAGUGGAAAGCUCAUCAAGUGACGGUAACUACCCAGAAAGGGACGGCUAACUACGUG